rnacentral:rRNA from 1 species
UACGUAGGUGGCAAGCGUUAUCCGGAAUUAUUGGGCGUAAAGCGCGCGCAGGUGGUUUCUUAAGUCUGAUGUGAAAGCCCACGGCUCAACCGUGGAGGGUCAUUGGAAACUGGGAGACUUGAGUGCAGAAGAGGAAAGUGGAAUUCCAUGUGUAGCGGUGAAAUGCGUAGAGAUAUGGAGGAACACCAGUGGCGAAGGCGGCCAGCUGGACCAGUUCUGACACUGAGGCGCGACAGCGUGGGGAGCAAACAGG